rnacentral:lncRNA from 1 species
UCUUAUGCCAUUGUUUUUUAUAUAUAUAAUAAAUAAAUAUUUAAAUAAAUAAAAAUCUUAAACUCUAAAACUAAACUCUAAAUCCUAAACCAUCAAUCUUAAACCUUUUUUUUUUAUGAAAUACGAACCCUAAACCCUAAACCAUCAAUCCUAAACCUUUUUUUUUUAAAAAAACGAACCCUAAACCCUGAAACCUCAACUCUAAACCAUAAACCCCGAAACAUCAACUCUAAACCCUAAACCUUCAACUCUAAACCCUAAAACAUCAACUCUAAACCCUAAACCCUAAACUUCAACUCUAAACCCUAAACCAUCAACACUAAACCCUAAACUAUUAACACUAAACCCUAAACCCUAAAAAGUAAACUCUAAACCCUAAACCCGAAAAAUUUAACCAUAAACCCUAAAACAUAAACUCUAAAUCCUAAACCUUCAACUCUAAACCCUAAAACCUAAACCCUAAAUCAUAAAUCCUAAACCCUGAGUAUAGAGUUAGUUAGAUAAUUUUAAAA